rnacentral:rRNA from 1 species
UACGAAGGGGGCUAGCGUUGCUCGGAAUCACUGGGCGUAAAGCGCACGUAGGCCGAUUGUUAAGUCAGGGGUGAAAUCCUGGAGCUCAACUCCAGAACUGCCCUUGAUACUGACGGUCUCGAGUCCGGGAGAGGUGAGUGGAACUGCGAGUGUAGAGGUGAAAUUCGUAGAUAUUCGCAAAGAACACCAGUGGCGAAGGCGGCUCACUGGCCCGGACUGACGCUG